CAAUAAUAACACUUAGUUUCUCUCCUGAUCUGACACCUCAGCUUUUUCAGCCUUUUCAGGGUGUGACACAUAAGCUUUUUUAUCCUCCGCUUUUUUAUCCUCCAAUAAGAACAUUUCAUUAAUAUGAUUCAGCAUUAUUUUUUUACACAUCAUCUUUCCGUUUUACUUUUUUUACGCAUCAUCUUUUGUUUCCAUCAUUUAUUUCUGAAUAAAAACAUGAAACUCUGAGACAUCGAGAUUGAGAUCUAAAAAAGACAGAGCAGAAGAUGAAGAGAAAUGGCUCGCCGCCAGUGCUGCUGCAACGCGCUAUUAGAAGAGUAAUGAGUUGGAGAAGAGUCUAGAAGUGUCUUCAGGCGGCUUCAGCGCAUUGUUUGCAUUGUUUGCUCUUCUCCUUGACGCUUCUUUUCGCUUUGAAGCUUGAUCCUGUUGUUUCUCAUUUAUAGUUAUUAGUUUUUCUUCUUAAGUUUGGUGGCUUGACUUAUGUUUUGUAUUGUGAAAGGUUUUAAAUGAGUGUUUUGUGUACUCAAAUGAAUAAAUUAAGUGGUUUAGCUUAAACU